AUGUCCGACCGAACUUUCGGUUUCGGUUUCGGUUUCGGCCGAGUUUCGGCCAAAAAUCAAGUUUCGGCUGCAGUUUCGGUUUCGGCCAAAAUCGGCCGAAACUUUUGCCGAAACCGAAACUUAUCUCGCAAGGUCACGCACGUUCGCCUAACUUCGUUUUCCGCGGCAAAGCUGUGUCGUAAGCCGUCGGCUCUGUUCGGGAAUCAUCGUGUGCCGUUCGGAUAGCUCCGUAGUAAUGCAAUAAAACUUAGUCAGUGCGUGUGCGUCCGACGGAAACAUUAUUUGGAGGUUAUGUUUUGAUGAAACUGAUAACAUAGUAAAAUGUCACAACGAGAAACAAAUCCGAUUUGGCAGUACUUUGAUAAAAGUAUCAGUGAUACAUCAAAAGCUGUUUGCAAGUAUUUAUUGUAUUAAAUAAAUGAUUACAAUACCUACAACAAACUGAAUUAAUAUACUGUGUUUCCACUUCAUACCCUAAUUAAUGCAAAA